rnacentral:rRNA from 1 species
GACGAACGCUGGCGGCGUGGAUUAGGCAUGCAAGUCGAACGGUAUCAUCCUUUCGGGGGUGAGAGAGUGGCGAACUGGUGAGUAACACGUAGGUUAUCUACCCUCAAGACGGGGACAACCCAGGGAAACUUGGGCUAAUACCGGAUGUGAGCAACUUUUAGUUGUUUGAAAGGUGGCGUAAGCUGUCGCUUGGGGAUGAGCCUGCGUCCUAUUAGUUAGUUGGUGAGGUAACGGCUCACCUAGGCAAUGAUAGGUAGGCGGCCUUAACGGGUGGUCGCCCACACUGGGAUUGAGAUACGGCCCAGACUCCUACGGGAGGCAGCAGUCGAGAAUAGUCUACAAUGGUCGGAAGACUGAUAGUGCGACGCCGCGUGAACGAUGAAUCCCUUCGGGGUGUAAAGUUCUUUUGUACGGAACGAAACGGUCUGCCCUAAUACGGUGGGCUAAUGACGGUACCGUAAGAAUAAGCACCGGCUAACUACGUG